rnacentral:rRNA from 1 species
GACUACAGGGGUAUCUAAUCCUGUUUGCUCCCCCGGCUUUCGUGCCUCAGUGUCAGUAACAUACUAGAGAGCCGCCUUCGCAUCCGGUGUUCUUCUUGAUAUCAACGCAUUUCACCGCUACACCAAGAAUUCCGCUCUCCUCUCCUGCACUCUAGCCCUGCAGUUUCGAAUGACGUUCUGGAGUUAAGCUCCAGGCUUUUACAUCCGACACACAGAACCACCUACGCACCCUUUACGCCCAGUAAAUCCGAACAACGCUCGCCACCUCUGUAUUACCGCGGCUGCUGGCACAGAGUUAGCCGUGGCUUCCUCCUUCGGUACCAUCAAUCAAAAGGGGUAUUAAUCCUCUCGGUAUUGUUCCCGAAUGACAGGAGUUUACGACCCGAAGGCCUUCAUCCUCCACGCAGCGUCGCUUUGUCAGGCUUGCGCCCAUUGCAAAAGAUCCUCGACUGCAGCCCCCCGUAGG